GGAUCCAGACUUUGAUUCUGGCUCAGGAUGAACGCUAGCUACAGGCUUAACACAUGCAAGUCGAGGGGAAACGACAUCGAAAGCUUGCUUUUGAUGGGCGUCGACCGGCGCACGGGUGAGUAACGCGUAUCCAACCUGCCCACCACUUGGGGAUAACCUUGCGAAAGUAAGACUAAUACCCAAUGAUAUCUCUAGAAGACAUCUGAAAGAGAUUAAAGAUUUAUCGGUGAUGGAUUGGGAUGCGUCUGAUUAGCUUGUUGGCGGGGUAACGGCCCACCAAGGUAACGAUCAGUAGGGGUUCUGAGAGGAAGGUCCCCCACAUUGGAACUGAGACACGGUCCAAACUCCUACGGGAGGCAGCAGUGAGGAAUAUUGGUCAAUGGGCGAGAGCCUGAACCAGCCAAGUAGCGUGCAGGAUGACGGCCCUAUGGGUUGUAAACUGCUUUUAUAAGGGAAUAAAGUGAGUCUCGUGAGACUUUUUGCAUGUACCUUAUGAAUAAGGACCGGCUAAUUCCGUGCCAGCAGCCGCGGUAAUACGGAAGGUCCGGGCGUUAUCCGGAUUUAUUGGGUUUAAAGGGAGCGUAGGCCGGAGAUUAAGCGUGUUGUGAAAUGUAGACGCUCAACGUCUGCACUGCAGCGCGAACUGGUUUCCUUGAGUACGCACAAAGUGGGCGGAAUUCGUGGUGUAGCGGUGAAAUGCUUAGAUAUCACGAAGAACUCCGAUUGCGAAGGCAGCUCACUGGAGCGCAACUGACGCUGAAGCUCGAAAGUGCGGGUAUCGAACAGGAUUAGGUACCCUGGUAGUCCGCACGGUAAACGAUGGAUGCCCGCUGUUGGUCUGAAUAGGUCAGCGGCCAAGCGAAAGCAUUAAGCAUCCCACCUGGGGAGUACGCCGGCAACGGUGCAACUCAAAGGAAUUGACGG
rnacentral:rRNA from 1 species